CGUGCCGGUUCGAUCGGGAUACUCAUCAAAUUAAAUCGAAAACCGAGCUGACUUCUCUUGCCAAUGGCGGGCCACAUCUUCCUUCGGGGAGAAGCCGGAAGGCCGGUGGAUUACAAAAGCGGAGAGCACUCUAAUCUUGUAACACAGGAGUUUUCAUCACAUCACUGGGCGCCCCUUU
rnacentral:sRNA from 1 species